rfam:Candidatus Raymondbacteria bacterium RIFOXYD12_FTLL_49_13 rifoxyd3_full_scaffold_466, whole genome shotgun sequence.
AGUUGGGUGCAAGUCCCAAUCUCGGCAAAACCUGUCAGCCGAGUAGCAAGAGGCCUGAUAUGCGCUGGAAACGGCGCAUAUCAAAGCGACCUGAUCCGCCUGAAACGGAUAGCCUUAAAGGGCGCAAUGCAAACGUACAGGCGGUAACGCAA